rnacentral:tRNA from 1 species
GGCCGCGUGGCCUAAUGGAUAAGGCGUCUGACUUCGAAUCAGAAGAUUGCAGGUUCGAAUCCUGCUGUGGUCG